rnacentral:lncRNA from 1 species
GAAUGAAACAAUCGGUGCAAUUUUGUCCUAUGUUCUUUUCUUCUUUUCCUUUUUCUUGUAUAAAAAAUUGUUCAAAAUAUAACUUUCUUUCCUAAAUUUCUUUGCAACAUUGAUCUAGAUAGCCUUAUCUUGUACAGGGGAUUUUCAACUUUCCAUGCUUUAAUUGCAGCAUGGGCUUCUCUCUACCUCCUACUAUUCUCAGAUCUUUUUGACGAGGAUUCCAGUAAUGACUUGAUUGUUAAUAGAUUCCAAAUCCCAAGAUAGCUCAAAAGGGGAGAGGCAAGUUUACAUAAUCUUUUUUACUUGAAUGAUUUUCACAUUGAUUUCUUAGCUGUGGGAUUUAUUGAAUUCAGGAAUAGAGAAACAUUCCCAGAUGAGACUGAAGCCUGUAAACGCUGCAACUGUAGAAGAUCCAGAUGUUUGACACUGUAAGUUCACAUGCGAGACAGAACAUUUCACUUAAGUACUAUGUUACUCGGACUUGGUUUAAGUAUGUACCCGAGAUCGCUAUCUUUAGUUUUCUUUUAAGUUUUCUUCAUGUAUUUAGAAGAUGUUUGGAAUAUGAUACCCCGAAUGUUCAGAGGGUGCUCAAAAAAAGUGAAGAUGUUUAGAAGAUGUUUGGAACAUCUGUUGAGUUUUGUUGUAUGUUGUGAUCAGCAGUUAUUGUGAGUGCUUUGCAGCAGGGAUUUACUGCAAGGAUUGUUGUGCAUGUGAUAACUGUUUGAACACGCCAGAUUAUGAGGAUAUUGUGCUUGAUAUUCGACAUCAAAUUGAAUUGCGUAACCCUCUCGCAUUUGCUCCUCCUAUUGUUAACCCACCUAAUGAUUCCCCUAAUGUUACUGUAAUUAUAACUUGAUAAUCUUACACUUUUUUUUUUCUCUUUAAAUUUGUGUAAUUUCUUAAGUGUUUGACAUGAGAAAAUAUGAAAACUUGAUGAACACUCAUUCAGCCAGGCACAAAAGCGGAUGCAAAUACAAGAAGUCAAAAUGCCUAAAAUAGUAUUGUGAGUGCUAUCGGGUAUGUUUUAACUUGGUAGCUCCAUGUUACUUAUGUUGCUCCCAAUUUCCUUUUUUAUUUUUAAGAACUUGUAUUCAAGAUCCAUGUGUAAUAUACACCUGGAUAUAGAUCUGUUAUAUGACUCUCCAAGUGUAUAAAAAAAACUCUUUAAAUUAUUGAACAAAUCAGUGUUAGACAUAAACUGACAAUACUCAAGUUUGUGUUUAAUAUAUGGUUGUCAUCUUAUUUCCUUUUUGGAUGAAAAGUCAACUUGUUAAGAUGAUAUAGUGUAUGAACUUAAUUACCUCUAAUCAAUCCGACUGCACAAGCAUUCUUCAUUUAUUUUUAGGCUAAGGAUGCCACUGUGAGGAUUGUGACAAUUCUUUUGGCAAUAAGUCGGGUAAUUUCUAAACUUGAAAAUGAUUUAACAUAUCUAUAAUGGACACAUUUCUGGAUCGUAGGGGUGAAACCAGAAUUUUUUUUGGGAUCGAGACUAAGUUACACAUUUUUGUAUGAGCUAAAAUAUAUUAGUUUAUAACUUUAUAUUUUUUAGAAUGAUUAAAUCAAAAUUUCAUUAUUCUGAGGGUCAAACUAUAAUUUCACCAUGAAUUAACUUGUAAUUUUAUAGAUUUUGGGAUCUAUAACCCUGCCUCCCCUCCCUUCCCCAUGCUGAAUCUGAUGCUCCCACCCGAUCAUUUGUAACAUGGACCAUUAAAUACUUACUUGUCCUGAUUUGAAUGAUGAAUGCUGACCCUAGCUGUGAUGCUUACGUACAAGUAUUAUAUACCCAAUUAUUAGUGACUAACUAACUUCACCAUGCUGGAGCUACAGAAUCAAUGUUCCAGAGAGUGGAAAAACAGCAGAAUCAGUCUCAUGAGAUGCUAAAUACAGCUCAAGUUAUGUCUGACAGCA